GGUAAAAGACCGAAAUAGGUCAAUACGGUGUUUAGGCAAAUUUUAGACCUUUUGCAUUUCAUACCAUGCAUUAGUGAUCUAAAUUAGUUAUUUCAAUUUAAGGGCAACAUACUAAAUUCCUUGAUUUUAUACUGUGUCAAGGUGGUGUGCCCUUCAACAAACGCAAGGAAAUUACGCUUGGGGAUCACUAAGCUGAGUACACUCGAAAUCUAAACUUUUGAAACUUGUCGGGUUAGCCUGUAGAUAGCAGACAUCGUCGAGAACUAUAGUUGGCCAUACUACUUCAAAAACUGUAGGUUUACUGUUUUUACUACUUUUGUUCAUUUAUGGGCCCACGUAGCACUGUAAAUUAAAUUUCAUACUUUGUUUUUCCGUAUUAUAGUUUGUAUAAAUGUAUUUAACUUUUACGCUACUAAAAAUCAUUUUCAAAAUACUCUGUAAAUAUUAAUUUGUAAGAAAA